rnacentral:tRNA from 1 species
AUAUGAGUGCCAGAGUGUUAAAUGGGUUGGUUUUAAGCAUCAAAUACGGGUAUAAGCCCCUUGUAUA